rnacentral:rRNA from 1 species
AUGACUGAAAAUAUUGUGCAAUGGCGAUUCACGGGCUUCUAUGGCCGUCCGAACUGGAAUGAACGCAGCUUAUCCUGGGAUGAUAUUCGCAAUCUUCACAGUAAGGGGGGCCAUCGUUGGGUAAUUUUGGGGGAUUUUAAUGAAAUAUUAUAUUCUUCGGAAAAAGAGGGCGGUAAUGCGAGACCAAAUGAUAUGAUGAGGGAGUUCCGUGAAUGCCUUAUGGAUUGUGGGCUAGAGGACUUAGGUUACACUAGCGACCUUUUUACUUGGAGCAGAGGUGAUAUUCGAGAGCGUCUUGAUCGUGCAGUAUGUAAUAUUGGGUGGGCACUCAAAUUCCCUCGUGCAAAGGUGAUUAAUGAAGAACAUGUUCAUUCUGACCAUCGCCCCCUGGUGCUCGAUACGAAUUAUCUAGACGAGAAUGUUUUCAAGCAACCAGUGGGACGUGCAAAACAAUUUGAAGCUAGGUGGUUACAGGAAGACACUAUUAAUGAAAUCAUUAAGGCAUCUUGGGAGAAAGCAAAGUUAGCCGGUAUUGGGCCUUCUCUUGCGGAUCGAACGAGAGCCGUGCAUGCUGAUCUUCACGAUUGGGAUCGUGAAUUUUUAAAGGGCCCGAAGCGGAGAAUUAAGAAAUUGAAAAAAGAGUUAGAGAGACUAUGA